AAAUCGUACCCCAAACCGACACAGGUGGUCAGGUAGAGAAUACCAAGGCGCUUGAGAGAACUCGGGUGAAGGAACUAGGCAAAAUGGUGCCGUAACUUCGGGAGAAGGCACGCUGGUGUGUAGGUGAAGUCCCUGCGGAUGGAGCUGAGACCAGUCGAAGAUACCAGCUGGCUGCAACUGUUUAUUAAAAACACAGCACUGUGCAAACACGAAAGUGGACGUAUACGGUGUGACGCCUGCCCGGUGCCGGAAGGUUAAUUGAUGGGGUUAUCCGUAAGGAGAAGCUCUUGAUCGAAGCCCCGGUAAACGGCGGCCGUAACUAUAACGGUCCUAAGGUAGCGAAAUUCCUUGUCGGGUAAGUUCCGACCUGCACGAAUGGCGUAAUGAUGGCCAGGCUGUCUCCACCCGAGACUCAGUGAAAUUGAACUCGCUGUGAAGAUGCAGUGUACCCGCGGCAAGACGGAAAGACCCCGUGAACCUUUACUAUAGCUUGACACUGAACAUUGAGCCUUGAUGUGUAGGAUAGGUGGGAGGCUUUGAAGCGUGGACGCCAGUCUGCGUGGAGCCAACCUUGAAAUACCACCCUUUAAUGUUUGAUGUUCUAACGUUGGCCCCUUACCGGGGUUGCGGACAGUGUCUGGUGGGUAGUUUGACUGGGGCGGUCUCCUCCUAAAGCGUAACGGAGGAGCACGAAGGUUAGCUAAUCCUGGUCGGACAUCAGGAGGUUAGUGCAAUGGCAUAAGCUAGCUUGACUGCGAGCGUGACGGCGCGAGCAGGUGCGAAAGCAGGUCAUAGUGAUCCGGUGGUUCUGAAUGGAAGGGCCAUCGCUCAACGGAUAAAAGGUACUCCGGGGAUAACAGGCUGAUACCGCCCAAGAGUUCAUAUCGACGGCGGUGUUUGGCACCUCGAUGUCGGCUCAUCACAUCCUGGGGCUGAAGUAGGUCCCAAGGGUAUGGCUGUUCGCCAUUUAAAGUGGUACGCGAGCUGGGUUUAGAACGUCGUGAGACAGUUCGGUCCCUAUCUGCCGUGGGCGCUGGAGAAUUGAGGGGGGCUGCUCCUAGUACGAGAGGACCGGAGUGGACGCAUCACUGGUGUUCGGGUUGUCAUGCCAAUGGCACUGCCCGGUAGCUAAAUGCGGAAGAGAUAAGUGCUGAAAGCAUCUAAGCACGAAACUUGCCCCGAGAUGAGUUCUCCCUGAGACUUUAAGUCUCCUGAAGGAACGUU
rnacentral:rRNA from 1 species